AACCGAAGGCCUUCAAAGCCUUAAACAAGAGUUAAACCCUCUUAGUUUCUG
rnacentral:tRNA from 1 species